rnacentral:rRNA from 1 species
UACGGAGGGUGCAAGCGUUGUCCGGAUUUAUUGGGUUUAAAGGGUGCGUAGGCGGCCUAAUAAGUCAGUGGUGAAAGCCUCCCGCUUAACGGGAGAACUGCCAUUGAUACUGUUAGGCUUGAGUAUACUUGAGGUAGGCGGAAUUGACAGUGUAGCGGUGAAAAUGCAUAGAUAUUGUCAAGAACACCAAUUGCGAAGGCAGCUUACUAAAAUUAUAACUGACGCUGAGGCACGAAAAGUGUGGGGUAUCAAAACAGG